GUGCCUACUUUGGCAGCACAUAUACUGAAAUUAGAACUACACAGAGAAGAUUAGGAUGGCCCCUGUGCAAGGAUAGCAUGCAAACCUGUGAAGCAUUCCAUAUUAAA